rnacentral:rRNA from 1 species
GACGAACGCUGGCGGCGUGCCUAAUACAUGCAAGUUGAGCGCUGAAGGUUGGUACUUGUACCAACUGGAUGAGCAGCGAACGGGUGAGUAACGCGUGGGGAAUCUGCCUUUGAGCGGGGGACAACAUUUGGAAACGAAUGCUAAUACCGCAUAAAAACUUUAAACACAAGUUUUAAGUUUGAAAGAUGCAAUUGCAUCACUCAAAGAUGAUCCCGCGUUGUAUUAGCUAGUUGGUGAGGUAAAGGCUCACCAAGGCGAUGAUACAUAGCCGACCUGAGAGGGUGAUCGGCCACAUUGGGACGGAGACACGGCCCAAACGCCUACGGGAGGCAGCAGUAGGGAAUCUUCGGCAAUGGACGAAAGUCUGACCGAGCAACGCCGCGUGAGUGAAGAAGGUUGUCGGAUCGUAAAACUCGGUUGGUAGAGAAGAACGUUGGUGAGAGUGGAAAGCUCAUCAAGUGACGGUAACUACCCAGAAAGGGACGGCUAACUACGUG